GACGAACGCUGGCGGCGUGCUUAACACAUGCAAGUCGAACGGAAAGGCCCUGCUUUUGUGGGGUGCUCGAGUGGCGAACGGGUGAGUAACACGUGAGUAACCUGCCCUUGACUUGGGGAUAACUGCAGGAAACUGGGGCUAAUACCGGAUAGGAGCUCCUGCUGCAUGGGGGGGGUUGGAAAGUUUCGGCGGUUGGGGAUGGACGCGCGGCUUAUCAGCUUGUUGGGGGGGUAGUGGCUUACCAAGGCUUUGACGGGUAGCCGGCAUGGGAGGGUGACCGGCCACAUUGGGACUGAGAUACGGCCCAGAGUCCUACGGGAGGCAGCAGUGGGGAAUAUUGCACAAUGGGCGGACGCCUGAUGCAGCAACGCCGCGUGCGGGAUGACGGCCUUCGGGUUGUAAACCGCUUUCGCCUGUGACGAAGCGUGAGUGACGGUAAUGGGUAAAGAAGCACCGGCUAACUACGUG
rnacentral:rRNA from 1 species